CGGCAACAGCUCAAAUUUGAAAUCUGGCUCUCGGGCCCGAGUUGUAAUUUGCAGAGGAUGCUUCGGGAGUGGCCCCCAUCUAAGUGCUCUGGAACGGGCCGUCAUAGAGGGUGAGAAUCCCGUAUGGGAUGGGGUGUCCGCGACCAUGUGAAGCUCCUUCGAC
rnacentral:rRNA from 1 species